GGGGCCAUAGCUCAGCUGGGAGAGCGCCUGCAUGGCAUGCAGGAGGUCGUCGGUUCGAUCCCGUCUGGCUCCACCA
rnacentral:tRNA from 5 species